AGUGAACGCUGGCGGCAGGCCUAACACAUGCAAGUCGAACGGCAGCACAGGAGAGCUUGCUCUCUGGGUGGCGAGUGGCGGACGGGUGAGGAAUACAUCGGAAUCUACCUUUUCGUGGGGGAUAACGUAGGGAAACUUACGCUAAUACCGCAUACGACCUUCGGGUGAAAGCAGGGGACCUUCGGGCCUUGCGCGAUUAGAGUAGCCGGUGUCGGAUUAGCUAGUUGGUGAGGGAAAGGCUCACCAAGGCGACGAUCCGUAGCUGGGCUGAGAGGAUGAUCAGCCACACUGGAACUGAGACACGGUCCAGACUCCUACGGGAGGCAGCAGUGGGGAAUAUUGGACAAUGGGCGCAAGCCUGAUCCAGCCAUGCCGCGUGGGUGAAGAAGGCCUUCGGGUUGUAAAGCCCUUUUGUUGGGAAAGAAAAGCAGUCGAUUAAUACUCGAUUGUUCUGACGGUACCCAAAGAAUAAGCACCGGCUAACUUCGUGCCAGCCGCCGCAGUAACAC
rnacentral:rRNA from 1 species